UUCAUCUACUUUAUCCCACUUGUUUAAUUCUUUUCCUUCUCAUAUUGCAUAUGUUUUACCCUCCUUUCUGUAUAAUCCAGACUAUGCAGCAAGCUUCUUUUGGGUUUCUGAUUAUGAAAUUCAUAUACCUUAUGACUCUUAUGGAAUCAAUAGAUUUUGAUUGAUCUGAAUCUUUUGAGUGGCUAUUUGAUGCAAAUUUUGUCCGAAACAGCAGGUCAAAGAAUUUCAAAUAUCCAAAACUCUAAUUUUAAAAUUCCACAUAGCUCUAUAAAUUCGACAUGGUACAUUGCAGAAAAGGAAACAGGAGUGCGAGAGGACGGAGGAAUAUAAACCAAGGCUAUGGUGAUGGCGGAGGUGGUCCCAAUCACCUUAUUCCGGAUGCUAUCUGUUAAUGACCUUCAUGUCUCAGAGGACCUACUCAGGUAGGAAUUUACCAUCUGGAGUUUUAUUUUUGCAUACUGAUCAUUGACUUAUACGUACGCAUAAUCUGUGAUUGCUCGAACAUGUCAAAAGGAUUGGCCUGCUGGAGUAUAAUGUAAUGGUAGAAGUAUGCAUAUAUAUUUAACAAUUAUUCGUUUUGGUUAGCUUCUUUAUAGCGUAAAUAUGCUUUAGCUUCAGCUCAAAUGAUAUUUGUAAUUGGUGACACGGUUUUCAUACCUUAGAAGAGCUUUCCUACUUUGGCAGUGGCUAAUUUGUAAGUUUUUUACUUUUAGGUUCUCCUUUACACGCUUCCGGAGUUGAUAAAGAGAAGCUAUAGCAACAAUGAAUCUUCAUACUUGCAUUAUAUAAUGUUCAUUUAUAAGGUUUUGCUUCUCUGCUUUAUUGCUAGUGUCCACGAGUCCUAUAGAAUGUUUCUCUGAAAUAUCUUCGAUAUUAAUUAA